GAGGAAGGUGACAGUAGGAGAGGUUGAACCCUGAGAAGACCUUCCUGAAAGUGGACCAAAAAGUCGAGCAAGGGAUCUUGAAAGGACAGCCCUGUUCCCAGUGACUCAGACCCUGGUUGCUGUUUGCUUCUCCACCCACCACCCUGCAAAGCCCGCGCUGCCGGCUAAUUCCAGGCCUCCCGCCCCUGCCGCCCCGUCCUCAGCAGCUUGGACCACUGCACUGCGAGGGAGGUUAGAGCACCUCCCGUUCAGGAAGCCUCACUCUCUGAAGCACAGUUGUCUGUUUUUGAACCUCUUGUCUGUCUGUCUGUGUGUGCUUGGACCCAGUGAGCUACCCGCGGCGUGCCAAGCUGGUCCCCGGUGGCUUAGAUGCUUUCCCGCUCCGAGGGUGGGUUUUCCCGGCAGGCGCCGCAGCGUCGCCCCUCAGCGCCUCUGGACGCGCCCAGCACUCUUCCCUCCUACGUGUUUUCUGAAGCCUCCCUCCAGCUCCAACGGUAGCCUAGGGCAGUGCUGAUUCUCGGUUGCCCUCACUGCCUUCUUGUUUUAAUCACCAGGAAAUCUGUGAGAAAAUGAGGCUUUGAUUUUUUUUUAAGACAUCAAGUUGAAUCUUAGAUGCUAACUUUUGCUGAGAGGUGAAAGGGGGGUGUAUAUACAUAGUGCACAAUGAAUUUGGACAUAUGAAAUAAAGACGACUUUUUAAAUGUACGAUAAUAAAGU
rnacentral:lncRNA from 1 species